AUUGAACGCUGGCGGCAUGCUUUACACAUGCAAGUCGAACGGUAACAGGGUGCUUGCACCGCUGACGAGUGGCGAACGGGUGAGUAAUGCGUCGGAACGUGCCGAGUAGUGGGGGAUAACGCAGCGAAAGUUGUGCUAAUACCGCAUACGUACUGAGGUAGAAAGUGGGGGACCUUCGGGCCUCACGCUAUUCGAGCGGCCGACGUCUGAUUAGCUAGUAGGUGAGGUAAAGGCUCACCUAGGCGACGAUCAGUAGCGGGUCUGGGAGGAUGAUCCGCCAGACUGGGACUGAGACACGGCCCAUAAUGCUACGGGAGGAAGCAGUGGGGAAUUUUGGACAAGUGGCGAAAGCCUGAUCCAGCCAUGCCGCGUGUCUGAAGAAGGCCUUCGGGUUGUAAAGGACUUUUGUCAGGGAUGAAAUCCCUAGUGCUAAUAACACUGGGGGAUGACAGUACCUGAAGAAUAAGCACCGGCUAACUACGUGCCAGCCGCCGCGGUAA
rnacentral:rRNA from 1 species